rnacentral:rRNA from 1 species
AGCGAACGCUGGCGGCAGGCUUAACACAUGCAAGUCGAGCGGGCAUCCUUGUGGUGUCAGCGGCAGACGGGUGAGUAACGCGUGGGAACGUGCCCUUCGGUUCGGAAUAACUCAGGGAAACUUGAGCUAAUACCGGAUACGUGCGAGAGCAGAAAGGUUUAUCUGCCGAAGGAUCGGCCCGCGUCUGAUUAGCUAGUUGGUGAGGUUACGGCUCACCAAGGCGACGAUCAGUAGCUGGUCUGAGAGGAUGAUCAGCCACACUGGGACUGAGACAUGGCCCAGACUCCUACGGGAGGCAGCAGUGGGGAAUAUUGGACAAUGGGGGCAACCCUGAUCCAGCCAUGCCGCGUGAGUGAUGACGGCCUUAGGGUUGUAAAGCUCUUUUCUCCGGGACGAUAAUGACGGUACCGGAGGAAUAAGCCCCGGCUAACUUCGUG